CCUACGGGUGGCAGCAGUGAGGAAUAUUGGUCAAUGGACGAGAGUCUGAACCAGCCAAGUAGCGUGAAGGCUGACUGCCCUAUGGGUUGUAAACUUCUUUUAUAUGGGAAUAAAAUGUUCCACGUGUGGGAUUUUGUAUGUACCAUAUGAAUAAGGAUCGGCUAACUCCGUGCCCGCAGCCGCGGUAAUACGGAGGAUCCGAGCGUUAUCCGGCUUUAUUGGGUUUAAAGGGAGCGUAGGUGUCUUGUUAAGUCAGUUGUGAAAGUUUGCGGCUCAACCGUAACAUUGCAGGUGAAACUGGCAGUCUUGAGUACAGUAGAGGUGGGCGGAAUUCGUGGUGUAGCGGUGAAAUGCUUAGAUAUCACGAAGAACUCCGAUUGCGAAGGCAGUUCACUGGACUGCAACUGACACUGAGGCUCGAAAGUGUGGGUAUCAAACAGGAUUAGAUACCCUAGUAGUC
rnacentral:rRNA from 1 species